CCAUUUUUCAGAAGAGCCACUUGAUUGCGGAUAUUCAGGAGCUAGGAUUUCUGGCUCCUCCCACCUCUGGGGUUUGUGCAGUAGAGAGAGCUGAUACAUGUACCCUGGGGCAAAACCAAGGUGUAAUUACUGGACUGCUGUCACCUUGGGAUAACUGAACCAUCCCACCCAUUACUAGCUCUGCAUUGCUGGCUACUGAUAAGAGGAAACCUUUAGAGAAAAGUGCUAACCCGAGCAGAAGCAGGGGAGUCACUCACUCUUUGAGUGGAUGCUGCAUUGCUCAGAGGGCCUGGCCCAUGCAAAGUGCAGAAUAGUGCCAGAGAGGAUAAUGAACCUAAUUAGAGUUAGUCAGUAUUUGCUAUAGUUACAAUCGCAAGUGAUAACACUACUGCCUACUGUGCUGUUUUGUGUGAUGUCUUCUUCAUGUGACUACUUUUUCAUAAAUCAAAGCAAAAGCCAAUACCAGACAGUUUCUUGUACAGCUUGCCUGACAAUAAAAGUUAACACUGACCUUAGCUGUUAUCAAUCUUCAUAAGUGUGUCCAUGAUGUGUCAGGAAUGCUUCACCUUACAGAGGGGCUGUCACUAAUGCAUGCAAGGGAGUGACCCACUGCGUUAAUGGGACUUGACAAUCGGUACAGUCUUAAUUAAGCCAGGAAAAAGUAUGACGCAAAAGUAUAUAGGAGUUUUCUCCUCUAUUUCUCAGUCCCUUCAGUACCUUGCUCAAAAAAUGCCUCUAAUCAAGUUUCAUUUAGACUCAUAGAGCAGACAAUAGAGAUCUCACAGGGAAAGUAGGUAGGUAGGCUUCUAGAAAAAGAAGACUUUGUGAUACAGUAUUUAGUUGGUAUUCUUGGUAGAGAACUCCUAGACUUGAAGAUAGAUACUGUGUUUCUAGGUUCAACUAGAAAAUGUUAAGGAGUUAUGCUUUGGUUUUCAAAAAAAUAUCAAUCUAUCUACAUUAGCAGAAGUGAAAAACAGUCUUUAAACAUAGCAAGAAGUCAGAAAAAUUCAAGUACCAGCUUCUAUCCCAGCUUCUACCUAGCAUGUCUUGGAGAUGAACUCUGGCAAUUAGCUAAUGUCCAACAAAAA